rnacentral:rRNA from 1 species
AACGAACGCUGGCGGCAUGCCUAACACAUGCAAGUCGAACGAGACCUUCGGGUCUAGUGGCGCACGGGUGCGUAACGCGUGGGAACCUGCCCUUAGGUUCGGAAUAACUCCCCGAAAGGGGUGCUAAUACCGGAUAAUGUCUUCGGACCAAAGAUUUAUCGCCUUUGGAUGGGCCCGCGUUGGAUUAGCUAGUUGGUAGGGUAAAAGCCUACCAAGGCGACGAUCCAUAGCUGGUCUGAGAGGAUGGUCAGCCACACUGGGACUGAGACACGGCCCAGACUCCUACGCGAGGCAGCAGUGGGGAAUAUUGGACCAUGGGCGAAAGCCUGAUCCAGCACUGCCGGGUGAGUGAUGAAGGCAUUAGGGUUGUAAAGCUCUUUUACCCGGGAUGAUAAUGACAGUACCGGGAGAAUAAGCCCCGGCUAACUCCGUG